UACGGAGGGUGCAAGCGUUAUCCGGAUUCACUGGGUUUAAAGGGUGCGUAGGUGGGUUGAUAAGUCAGUGGUGAAAUCCCCGAGCUUAACUUGGGAACUGCCAUUGAUACUAUUGAUCUUGAAUACCGUGGAGGUCAGCGGAAUAUGUCAUGUAGCGGUGAAAUGCUUAGAUAUGACAUAGAACACCAAUUGCGAAGGCAGCUGGCUACGCGAAUAUUGACACUGAGGCACGAAAGCGUGGGGGAGCAAACAGG
rnacentral:rRNA from 1 species